rnacentral:rRNA from 1 species
CAAUAGCGUAUAUUAAAGUUGUUGCAGUUAGAACGCUCGUAGUCGGAUUUCGGGGCGGGCCGACCGGUCUGCCGAUGGGUAUGCACUGGUCGGCGCGUCCUUCCUUCCGGAGACCGUCCCUACUCUUAACUGAGCGGGGGCGGGAGACGGGACUUUUACUUUGAAAAAAUCAGAGUGUUUCAAGCAGGCAGCUCGCUCUUGCAUGGAUUAGCAUGGGAUAAUGAAAUAGGACUUUGGUGCUAUUUUGUUGGUUUCGAACACCGAAGUAAUGAUGAGAAGGGACAGUCAGGGGCACGCGUAUUCCGCCGAGAGAGGUGAAAUUCUCAGACCAGCGGAAGACGAACCACUGCGAAAGCAUUUGCCAGGGAUGUUUUCACUGA